UACAUGGGGUGCAAACGUUGCUCGGAAUCAUUGGGCGUAAAGCGCGCGUAGGCGGUUACUUAAGUCGGAUGUGAAAGCCCUCGGCUUAACCGAGGAAGUGCAUCCGAAACUGAGUAGCUAGAGUACUAAAGAGGGUCGCGGAAUUCCCGGUGUAGAGGUGAAAUUCGUAGAUAUCGGGAGGAACACCGGUGGCGAAGGCGGCGACCUGGGUAGAUACUGACGCUGAGGCGCGAAAGCGUGGGGAGCAAACAGGG
rnacentral:rRNA from 1 species